GCGCCGGUGCCCGAGCGGACUAAGGGAGUGGCCUGCAAAGCCAUGAUUCACGGGUUCAAAUCCCGUCCGGCGCUCCA
rnacentral:tRNA from 2 species